GACGAACGCUGGCGGCGUGCUUAACACAUGCAAGUCGAGCGGUAAGGCCCUUUUGGGGGUACGACGAGCGGCGAACGGGUGAGUAACACGUGGGUGACCUGCCCUCAGCUCUGGGAUAAGCCUGGGAAACUGGGUCUAAUACUGGAUAUGACCUUUCCUCGCAUGGGGGUUGGGGUGGAAAGUUUUUCGGUCGUGGGGAGUGGGCCCGGCGGCCUAUCAGCUUGUUGGUGGGGUGAUGGCCUACCAAGGCGACGACGGGUAGGCCGGCCUGAGAGGG
rnacentral:rRNA from 1 species